rnacentral:rRNA from 2 species
GCAUAAUCACUUGUCCCUUAAAUCGGGACUGGAAUGAACGGCUAAAUGAGGACUAAACUGUCUCUUACAGGCUAGCCAAUGAAAUUGAUUUUCCAGUACAAAAGCUGGAAUAUAACCACAAGACGAGAAGACCCUGUGGAGCUUACAAACCAAAUUCACCAAACAUGUCUUUAUCGGUUUUCAGUUGGGGCGACUUUGGAGUAAAAAACAACCUCCAAACACCAAACUAAUUAAGAACAACAUAUCAAAAUAUAUCUGUAAUGACCCAGCAACCCUGUGGUUGUCUGAUUAAUGAACCAAGUUACCCCAGGGAUAACAGCGCCAUCCCCUUCUAGAGUCCCUAUCGACAAGGGGGUUUACGACCUCGAUGUUGGAUCAGGACACCCCAAUGGUGCAGCCGCCAUUAACGGUUCGUUUGUUCAACGAUUAAAGUCCAACGUGAU